rnacentral:rRNA from 1 species
AAAAACAUUUCCUCUUGGUAUAAGAGGUAAGGCCUGCUCACUGACUAGGUUGAAGAGCCGCAGUAUAUUGACUGUGCUAAGGUAGCAUAAUCAUUAGUCCUUUAAUUGGGGACUGGUAUGAAUGGCUAAACGAGAAAUUAGCUUUCUUUGUUAUGGUUUGUUGAAUUUAACUUGUAAGUGAAAAGGCUUACAUGAUUCAGAAAGACGAGAAGACCCUAUAGAGUUUUACAGAGGCCUAAAAUACAGCUUAUUAGUUUUUAAGGGUUAUAUUUUGGAAAUUUGUUUGGUUGGGGCGACAUAAAGAUAAAAAAAACUCUUUGUAGUAUAAACUUUGGUGGAAGAAAAGGUUUGAUCCUCUAAAAGGGAUUAUAAGAAAAAAUUACCUUAGGGAUAACAGCGUAAUCUUCUUUUAGAGUUCAAAUCGACAAGAAGGUUUGCGACCUCGAUGUUGGACUAAAAUUUGGGCAAGGUGCAGCAGCUUUGUUUUUGGGUCUGUUCGACCCGUAAUAUUUUACAUGAUCUGAGUU